rnacentral:sRNA from 1 species
CUUACUUCUACUUCCUGCCUUUCCUCUGACAGGAGGAUUCUUCUACAGCCAGAUGAUUCCUUACAGAUCUUGGCACCAGUGGAAGCAGAUGUGGGUUUCUACACUUGCAAUGCCACCAAUGCCUUGGGAUACGACUCUGUCUCCAUUGCCGUCACAUUAGCAGGAUUAUGUUGUCAUACUGUACUCCAGUCACACAUGCUACCCCCUUGCAUAUCUGUUUAGCAACAGUAUUUCUGCCCCCAUGACUUCAGGCUGAUCUGGGAAGGGACCCUUAGCAGGAGGCUUUGCGGGGAAGAUCAAAGUCAACAAUGAAGAAGGCAAGUUAAGGAGCCCUGGGCCGGAUUAAAGACUGAUAUUAUUAAUGCCUAUUUUUUGUGAAUAAAACAUUUGCUUUUCUUCUAA